AGUCCCUUGGUUAUUUUUAUAAGGGGUGUGGUCUGCUCACUGAGAUUUAAAGAGCUGCAGUAUUAUGACUGUACAAAGGUAGCACAAUCAUUAGCCUUUUAAUUAGGGGCGGGGAUGAAAGAUUAAUCAGGAAGGUACUUUCUUUAGCUUAAUUAAGUUAAAAUUUUCUUUUCUGGUAAAGGACAGAAAUAUAAAUAAAAGACAAGAAGACCCUUUUAAAGUUUAUUAAUUUUAUAAUAAAUAAUAUAUUAUAUAAAUAUUAUUUGUCUUAAGUUAAUUUUGCUGGGGCGGCAGGUAUAAAAACAAUAUUAAAAUAAAUAAAGCUUUUAAAUAGCCAUGUGAACCUGUGUUAAGGUUAAAGGAAAAAGUUACUAAAGGGAUAACAGCGUAAUAUUAUUUGAGAGAUCUUAUUGACAAUAGUGUUUGCGA
rnacentral:rRNA from 1 species